CCCCUGCCCCAGCCUUGAUCCCACUCUCUGAACCCCUCGGUCACAGCCCAGAGCAUCCUCCUGCACCUCAAACCCCUCAUCCCCAGCGCCACCCCAGAGCCCGCACCUCCAGUCGGAGCCCUCAUGCUCUGCCUCAGUGUUAUAAACAUUGUUUGGGUGAACUACCAUCAGUUCCUCCUCUAUCACAGAGCUCGCUGAUAAGAACUCCAAAGCAGAGGGAGGAGGACAAAUAGUGGAGCAUACACAGGGACAUACAUCUUGAAGAACCACAGAUACUGCACAAGAGCAGUUCAUUUCUAAACUUUGGAACACUGAGGAGCCAUUGAGGUGGAGAACCUGAAGAUUGGGGUGGAAGAUCAGUCCCGCAUCCUGAGAGAGGAAGUAAGAAAUGGGCUGGAGAGUGUUUGGCAGGCAAAUUGCCAUUUGAGUAAGAUGUGUAAAUUCCCCAGGAACGGAACGUGGCUCUGGAGUCUUUUAAUGUUUGGUGGGAUUCUUCUGUUCUGUCUCCAAAUAACUUGGAUUCUUCAAAGGGAAAGUCUUCCACAGUGGAUUGUACCUCCUUUGGAAAGCCGGAAAGGUAGUGGCCAGUUUGAAAAGAGAUGCUUUUGGAAAUGGGAGAAACAGCACAAGCCAAGGACUGUGUGAACUACCCACUCCUGGCCUGUCAAGAAGGCCUUGCCUGCAAAGAAGUUGUGAAUACUUGGAAGGUACAUGGCCUGUAUUGUGAUAUAGUUCCUGACACAACAAUUCCAAAGUCUGGUGACUUCCAGGAAGAGCAGAUGAGAUCUCACUCCUCCCUGUUUGUUUAUAUAGACCACAGUGGUAAUAUUGUCUGACAUUCACUGUAUAUGGAAUGAGUGUAUGAGCGGAAGGAAGGCCUUGCACACAAGGUGGACUACUCUCCGUUCCAAUAUGUUUAUGUGUAGUCUGGUGUCUCGUGGGGCCUAGGUAUCCUGAGCAGUGCGGUUGUCCAGUUAAGCACCCCACCUCAAGAGGGAAGCGUCCACCACGAUGGUGGCCAGAGGAGUGGGAGGGCUGAAAGGAAUGCCCACCAUGACCUUUUCCAGAUUCAACCACCACUGAGGGAACAGCCAUUUUGGAGUUGAUAUGGUCCUUGUUCGGACAGUAGAUCAAGUGGAACCAAGCUUGCAGGCACUGCAAAUGGAGUCUGGCAAACAGUGUCAAGUACCUGCACACAGCCAUGUGGCCUGACAGUGAAAGGUACCUGUACACUAUGGUUUGUGAUCUGCAGAUAAUAGAUGAAAUCAGGUUGUUCAUUGUAAGUCCAAUAUCGCCCCUAUAAAGUUUAUUGGCCUUGUGAGUAACAAAAUGGACUUUUCUUCAUUUAUGCAAAUACAUCAGGAUAAUAAAAGUUGUAGGAGAAACCCUGUUGCCAACCUGACCUCCUGACAAGAUUGGCCUAGCAGGAGCCAAUUGUCCCAGUAUGAAAAUAUCAUAUAGCCCUGGCGUACCAUCUGGGCUGCUACCACACAGAAACCUUUCAUAAAUACUUUGGGAACCAUAGCUAACCCAAAGGGGAGGACUCGAAACUGGAAGUGUUCCUGGCCUACCAUAAAAUGCAGGAACUUUCUGUGUGAUGGAUGAAUGUACACAUGGAAAUAUGAAAACUUUAUUGUAGACUGCCACGAACCAUAUUCCUUCCUGAUGGCAGGGGAUUACUGAUGCCAACAUAAUCACCCAGAAUUUGUUUUUGAAUAAAGAUGCUGAAUGUCCCAUGAAAACUGCUGUAUCACCAAUACCCCUCUGUAUAUGUAUCCAUCAUAGGUUAGCAGUGCUACGUCAAUAUCUUCCCCCGAUCAGGGACAAUGGGGAGCACUUAUCUCUUAAUGAAUGAAUGAUCAAUAGAUAAUGGAAUUUGCUGGUAGAAGAAACUUUCUCCUCUGGUCUGAGAGAUUUUUGGAGGAGUUAAAAGUUGCCAAAAGACAAAACAAACAAGUCAAAGGGGACAGGAAGGAAGGAAGGGCAUGGACAGCCCAAGUGAGUGGUGAUUUGAGGGGAGAAGACUCCAUGUUUUAGCACACAAUCCAUGAUCAGCAGAAGGACUUAGGUGCCUCCAGAGGAUCCUGACCCUCGCCCAAAGAAUGUUCUGGAGUGGUGAGGAAACUGAGGCAGGCAAAUGAUGUAGAAUUUAUUAUUUUGUAUGGAUGUGUAUUUCUUGUGCUAUUAAAGGACAAUGUGCUAGACUCUGGGAAAAGUGUGUAUGCGCGUGUUGUAUGCUACACGUCUUCGGAGAGAGUUAAACCAUAACCCAGAAGGAUCCAUCCUUUGGUGGAAUCCUGGGAGAACAUACUUUUAAGCUCCUGGAAUAUCUUGGGGAUCAGCACUGGUCCUGGGAGCCUAACCGGUGGGUUGAGGGGCUCCAUUUCUGUGAAGGCAUUUCCUCUCUUGCCUGCAAUUAUGUACCCCCCAUUUCUUCAUGCCAGCAUUUCCUAUUCUCCCCCCAUUCUAGGGUCCCUCACUCUUCCUCCUAGUGGAGGGACUCUAUGUGCAUUCCCAUUUCCACAAUAGGAGGUAUUCUGUAUGUCCCAUUUCCUCCUCCCACAAUAUUGGGGGUCACUAUUCCACCCCAUGCCAGAAGCUGCAUGCACUCCCACUUCCCCCCUCCACUAUUAUUCUUUUUGUCUGGGAGACAAGUCAUUCAGGGUGUCAACAUGUUAAACUCUACUGGGUGGGUGAGCACAGCUGAGUUGGGAUAUUAUUACACUAAAAUGCAUUAAUGGGUGCCAUAAAACAGUUGUUUGAUGUAUAGAAAAUUGCAGAGGUGCAGGAAGCGGUGGUUAUGCUCCAACAUAUGGCAGAGGCUCCAGGUGUCCCUGAUUUCCUCCCCACAAAACUGUAGGGUUCUGGCCAUUGAUGCUUAGAACAUUCUCUGAGAACUUGGAAUUGACCGAUAUGGUGUUCAAAAAUCAUCACAUUACAUACAGACAGAGAAAUGAAAUUGAGAGGCGUGUAAAACCUUCACAAACUCCUCUUCAGCUUACUAAAAAAUGUUGCUUCAUGCAGAUCUGAAAUGUUUUAAUAUCACAUUUCUUAAACUUUUGUAUCAACCAACAACAAAAAAAGUGUUAGUAAUUAGACCUUGCCAAAACUUUUCAGAAGUUUCAGUUUUCUGAAUGGGGGUUUGUACCACAUCAGAACAAGAUCAGAAUUUACUGAAAAUUCUCAGUGAAUUGAAGAUUUUUACUUUGGAAACAAACCAUGGUGCUUCUGAUAGUAGCAAUAGCAAUUUCACAUUUACUGCUAUUGAGCUGGGGCUCCCAGGGCUUUCAGGCUCCAAGCAGGGAGCCUGGAAGCCCUGGCAUGGCAAGACUACCCUGGAGUCUAGCUGAAACACUCAGGGCUUCUAAACUAAAGCUUCCUGCUUUGAAGCAGGGAGCCCAGCAGAGCUGGGAGACUAGAAGCCUUGGAAGCCCCAGCUCCAGGGCUGGCUUGAUCCAAGGAGCCUAGACAGCCCCAAGAAAGCCCCAGCUCCAGCAGGAACCCAGGAUGGAACUUGGGGCUGGCUUGGUCUCUGAUGCAGAGUGGGGAGCCUAUCCAGUUCCAAGAGCCCCAGCCAAGAUCCUGGGGCUGGGUUGGCCCCUGCCAUGGAGUCAGAAGCCUAACCAGCCCAGGAGCACCAGAUCCAGUGGCUGCCUGCCGUAGAGUGGGUUGAACCUAGUGACUGCAAAUGGGGAUCCUAGGGCUGAAAGGCUCUCCACUGGGCCGCUGCCCACCUUGGGACAUCAGCAUGUUUCCAAUGGAAAGUUGCCUAGCUAGCAACAAAAAUUUAGUUUAAUUUGCAAUAGAUCUGACCAAAUAUUUUGUACAGUGAAUCAGCAUUUUCUGCUUAAAUUAAGUUUUGUCAGAUAAUUUCCAACCAGCUCUAAUAAUAAUGUGUUGCUACAGUUUUCAUCUGAUCUCAAAGGCCUUAACAAAAGAAAUCCACCACUUUUUAUACUGAUAUAUUUACAUAGUUUUAAAACUGACUUAAUUUAUAUUUUUGCUAGAUUUUAGACCAUUUAUUUUUACCAAGAAGUCAGUUCAGACAACUACAGUACUUGAAUUUCUCCCAGCACUCCAUCAUGAUCUACAGAUAGCUGCCAUCCUAUUAGUUUUUUUCAGAUCUGUGAAACUGUGCUGCUUUUCUCAGUUCCACUUGCACUGGGCCUGUGUUUUACCACACCAACAGCCAAUUAAUGUGAACUCAGCCAAGUACUGUGUGUUAUAUUUUCUAUGCCCAUGUACUUUUUAUAUUAAUAUAUUAAAGUUUUUGGUUAAAUGUCUACCACAAAGUAUUGAGGAGGUACAAGGUGACUGACUUAAUGCUUUCAUUUCCUGACUUUUGAGUAUUAAUGUAAUAAGAUUACAAUAAUAAUAAACGUAAAAUUUCAUGGUUUAUAAUAUAACAAACAUUCCUGUUUUAAGACCAAGUCCAUAACACUUAUGUCCAUCUACGUAGCUAACCCAACUACCUUGGCACAAAAGCAUUUUUUCAAAAUGUGGCAAUGAUCAUAAUGCAUUUGAGUCAAUAUUUUUUAGUGUGACUUGUUUUGCAAAGCAAUCUAGAUGACCCCACAAGAUCACCUUUAGCCUGUUUGUUUUACAAAUGCAGAAGAUACAAACUCUGCUAAAAAAGCCUACAUGGUCUAAAUUUGACAUAGACAUCAUUCAGCCAUGGUUUAUAUAUAAGAGUUCACUGUCAGUGAUGCAGACUUAUUUUAUUUUAUCUACUCUCUCUCUCCACAAAUCCCCUUUUGAUGGUAAAUGAACUGCACCAGAAAACAAAUAAUAAAGUGACCUCCUUUAAGAUGCAUUUUUUCUUGCCCUUCUUGCAUAACUUUUUUGCUUCAUUAUGAUUCAUAAAUAUGGACUGAAAUGGUUUUUAAAGCAGAGAGGAAGGGGUCUUACUGAAUUUUUACCUUAGAAAUAUCACACACAUGCUGAAUUAUUCUUUCACCUUCCACUGAAGGAGUAAAAAUUGAGUCUUCCACUAAAAGAGCAUUAAUUCUACAUGUUUGUCAGGGUGUUUGUUAACCAAAUAUUAAGAAAAAACAAAGUUUUCAACAGUGAUAAAAAUAUCCUCUCUCUCAACUUUCACUCCCUUACAAUGUCAUAGUCCAGGUACUUAAACGAUCAUGACAACUGUACUAACUAAUCACUUCAUAAAUAUUUAAAAAUGGAAAAUAGUUUCUAGAGUCUGUUUGUGUGGAUGGGUGCACGUGCACCCCAAGUGAAGGAAAUGAGUUUGUUUUGAAAGCAGUAAGGCCCACUGUCAUUCUUAUCUCUUGUAUGAGUGAGUUCCAUAUUCUAGGUCUAGCUCUGCAAAAGUGGAACAGAGCUGCAGUGAGAGGUCAGGGGCAUGAGAGAGAUCAUAUCUUAGGUAGCUAGGACCAAUCCCAUGGAGGGCUUUGAAAAUCAGGACCCAGCUCUUUAACUAGUCUGUUCACUGGAGAGCAGCAUGGAGAGCAGAGCACUGGGGUGACAGGUUCACAGUGAUCAUGGUUAUGAAAAAGACUUGAUGAGGUAUUUUAUAUCAGUUGAAAUUUUCUCAGUAGACAUGGCUUUAUUCCUAGUUAUGAGUUGCAAUUACCAAGCCUGGAGGUUACCAGUAUUCCAGCAAAAAUAGGAAUGUCAACACUUGAUAUAUCUAAUGU